ensembl:snRNA U6 U6 spliceosomal RNA
GUGCUCCCUUCACGCACCCAUAUACUAAAAUUGGAACAAUACAGAGAAGAUUAGCACCGCCCCUGUGCAAGGAUGACACGCAACAACAGAAAUAAAUAAAAAUAAAGCUUUUU